AGAGAAGAAACUUUAGAAAGGAGAGAACAACAAGAGAGACAAGGGAUACGGUGAAAGAUGUUUGCUCUCAUCUGGACAGUUCUGCUCUUCUCUGUGGGAGGCACCAACGCUGACUCGGAUGCAUCAGCCAGGACAAAACAACAC